rnacentral:lncRNA from 1 species
GCAACAUAUGCAUGAUUCCUUUCUGUUUUACUAUGACCAUUGAUCUUUGUUUAGCGUGCAAUCUGCAACCCCUUUCCAACUACUUCCAUGUCAGAGUGCUCUUCAUCUCGUUCCCAAUUGUCUAGCUAUAUGUUUGGAUUUUUGUGAUUGUGAUACAUGCUGAUGUUCAAUGGUCUUCAAACAGUUGCUUCUUUAAAUAUGACUGACGCACAGCUUGCUGAGUAUGGUAAUAUUAUCUGGGAACUUUUACUGUCUGCUUGAUAUUGUUAUUCCUUUGGGUUAUUACUCUGACCAGGCUACCUUUUACCAUAACUUAUGUCAGUGUUGCAAAUUGGACAUCAAUCAUUCCAUAAUUUUAUGCUUUUCUUGUUGAAAUGUUUUUAUGAAUAUGUUUGUUAAAUCAACAUUAACCUGUGUUUCUACUUAUUUUUGUUUAGUUUCUUUUGCCAUGGCCAUCAUAACUGAUUCAAUUGUUGUUUGCAAUUCCUACCAAGUAAUUCUCCAUCCAAUUUCCUGUUAAAAUGGAUGUCUUGAUAUGUGUAAACUAUCCAUUUAGGUGGUGGCCCUAAUUAUAAACAGCAUCAGUUGUAACGGCCUUUAUAACCCAGCAGUUGUAUAAUCCAAAAUAAAUGGGAACUUGUUUCUCUAAAGCUUAUUUGCAGUCUGGUUUAAUGCCACAAUGGUUCAUACGGUUUCCAGUCUUAGAUAUUUAUCUGGUCAUAAUAAAUGCAAUAUGGAACCAUGGUGUUUGUUACCACUGUUCGUCCAUGUUAGAUCCAUAAGUUUGUCUGGUUAGAUUGUGACUGCUGCAAUAAGGUAUUGCACCUUCUGUUAUCGUGUGUAAUAUAAUUUAAUUACUUUCCAUGAAAUUAGUAGGCCAAUCUAAACUAUAGGCAAGUUUGUUCAGAUUUUAAUUGGUGUUAAUUGCUGCAAUAUUUUGUCGCACAUUUUUUGACUGCAUGUCAUGGAUCAUGAAAAAUUUCAGUUAAAUCAGAAAGCAUAAUUUUCACUUUUUUUAUAAUGUUUUUUUAGGGGUUGACUGCCAUAGUAAGACGGUGCUCAUUGCUUAUUUGUGUGCUAUAGCAUAUUGUUUUGAUGUUGUUAUUUUUGUUAUUAUGGUUGCCAUUGUUGCUUCCGAUGGUGGCGGCAGUCCUGCUUUGUAUAUGCAAGUUAUUUGCGCUCUCAUAUGGUUGUGUCUUAAGAAAUAAUGAAUAAAUAUUACCUUUAUAUACAUGUUAUGACAAAUAUUAGUGCUAAAUUUUUGUUAAGAGGAUGCAGAAGCACGUGAGUCUACACUCUUAAAAAUUUUGGAUAUAUUUUUAUCCUGCUGGAUUUGUUCUGUUCGUUCUUUGUACCCUAAAUGUGGAGGUAGCUUAUC